rnacentral:rRNA from 1 species
UACGUAGGGUGCGAGCGUUGUCCGGAAUUAUUGGGCGUAAAGGGCUCGUAGGCGGUUUGUCGCGUCGGGAGUGAAAACCUUGGGCUUAACUCAGGGCUUGCUUUCGAUACGGGCAGACUAGAGGUAUGCAGGGGAGAACGGAAUUCCUGGUGUAGUGGUGAAAUGCGCAGAUAUCAGGAGGAACACCGGUGGCGAAGGCGGUUCUCUGGGCAUGAUCUGACGCUGAGGAGCGAAAGUGUGGGGAGCGAACAGG